UACGGGGGGAGCAAGCGUUGUUCGGAUUUACUGGGCGUAAAGAGCGCGCAGGCGGUCGUUCAAGUCGAGUGUGAAAGCCCCCGGCUCAACUGGGGAGGGUCACUCGAUACUGAUCGACUUGAAGGCAGGAGAGGGAAGCGGAAUUCCCGGUGUAGUGGUGAAAUGCGCAGAUAUCGGGAGGAACACCAGUAGCGAAGGCGGCUCGCUGGGCCAUUCCUGACGCUGAGACGCGAAAGCUAGGGGAGCGAACAGG
rnacentral:rRNA from 1 species